rnacentral:rRNA from 1 species
CCCUUAGAUGUUCUGGGCCGCACGCGCGCUACACUGAUGCAUUCAACGAGUCUAAAACCUGCUCUGAUAGGGGUGGGUAAUCUUUUGAAUGUGCAUCGUGAUUGGGAUAGAUGAUUGCAAUUUUUCAUCUUCAACGAGGAAUGCCUAGUAAACGCAAGUCAUCAGCUUGCAUUGAUUACGUCCCUGCCCUUUGUACACACCGCCCGUCGCUCCUACCGAUUGAAUGAUCCGAUGAAUAUCAUGGAUUGAGGAUGCAAGUAGGUUCGCCUAUCUUCAUCUUCGAGAAGAGAAGUAAAUCUUAUCAUUUAGAGGAAGGAGAAGUCGUAACA